rnacentral:rRNA from 1 species
AUAGAUGGAUCCGCGCUGCAUUAGCGAGUUGGUAAGGUAACGGCUUACCAAGGCAACGAUGCAUAGCCGACCUGAGAGGGUGAUCGGCCACACGGGAACUGAGACACGGUCCAGACUCCUACGGGAGGCAGCAGUAGGGAAUCUUCCGCAAUGGGCGAACGCCUGACGGAGCAACGCCGCGUGAGUGAUGAAGGUCUUCGGAUCGUAAAACUCUGUUAUUAGGGAAGA